rnacentral:rRNA from 1 species
CCUACGGGAGGCAGCAGGAGGGAAUGUUGCGCAAUGGGCGAAAGCCUGACGCAGCAACGCCGCGUGAACGAGACGCCCUUCGGGGUGGAAAGUUCUGUAAGGGGGGACGAAAAAUGACGGUACACAAAGAGGAAGCACCGGCAAACUCCGGGCCAGCAGCCGCGGUAAUACGGAGGGGGCAAGCGUUGUCCGGAAUCAUUGGGCGUAAAGAGUUCGUCGGGGGCAUGUAAAGUCAGGUGUUAAAGGCGCAGGCUCAACCUGUGUCUGGCACUUGAUACUUGCAAGCUGGAAUGCGGUAGAGGUCAUGGGACUUCCUGGUGUAGCGGUUACAUGCUUAGAUAUUAGGAGGA